AGAAUAUAAAAAUCCAUGUUUUAACUUUUAACUAAAAAAUUUAAGAACCGGCUCUUAAAACUUUUAUUUAAAAACCGGUUUUUAGUUUUUUUAGUUAAAAGUUAAGAGACGGGUUCUUAUAUUCC
rnacentral:pre_miRNA from 1 species